rnacentral:lncRNA from 10 species
GCGGGAGAAAACGCGGAAGGCGGCUCUGGACGCGGGCGGUGCUCACCCCCGGUUAUCCUCCACCGUCCCCGCAAGCCGUUUCCAGGCAGUAAUCCCGGGCGGGCGAGGUCCCCUGCGUGCCGGCGCGGCCCCGAGUGUGCCCUGACGCCCAGUGUGCUACUUCACUUACUCCGAACAGUCCUAUUGUUCCUCCCAGCAGAGCCAUUGAAACGUUUGCAAAAUAGCAGAGGGUUCCAGAUGGGAGGAGCCAUUGUUCAAAGUCCAGACCACCCAGCGGGCAUGUCAGACCCGUAAGACGUUAUCCCCAACGGAAGAAACAAUGGCAGAGAAAGGAAAUCAUGUGUUUGCUGGGAGUGAAUUUUCCAGAAGGCACCUUGGCCUCAUGACACGGAAGGUCUGAUUCCAAUUCUGCCAGUGAAGAACUGAGAGACCCUGGACAAGUUGUCUCGCCUUUCUGAUCAAUUGCUAUACCUAAAAUAGGUACACUGUGUGGGGGGAAGCGAUUAAAAUUUUUGAAAAAUUUUUAAUUUUUUGGUUUAUUAUUAUUUUUUAUAGAGAUGGGGUCUCACUAUGGUGCCCAAGUUGGUUCAAACUCCUGAACUCAAGCGAUCUUUCCUUGACGGCCUCCCAUAGUGCUGGAAUUAUAGGCAUGAGUUACCACUCCCCGCCAAAAAUUUAAAAAAAGUUUUGAGUGGGAAAAUAGAACUAUCAACUUCACAGGAUUAUUUUAAGCUUUAAAUGAGAUAGUGUAUGCAAAUUACUUACUAUAUUACAUGAAGUAAGAACUAAUCCUCAUAAAGCCAUGUGAAAUGCUCCAUAAAGCAGGCUUAAAAACAAACAAACAAACCUCUGAAAUUUACAUUCAGAAUUGCUACAAUGUUUUCCUGUGAUCCAUAUUGGAAGGAAAUCUUUCCAAGACAUCUCCCAUCCCUGCCUUGUUUAAUGGUGUCUCCUGAAUUCACUUUAGCUCUUUCCUCAUGACUCAGGGUCCCUGUUUUGCAACGAGUGACUGUACUGUCCUAGAACAUAGGGAUGACCUCAGUCAGGGGUUUUUCUACUGUCCACCCUCCCCUCCCCCUCCUCCACCCACACUCUCACAGCCGUGUUCAUAGUUCCAUAAUAGCACUUACCACACUGUGGCA